CGGAGGAUCCAAGCGUUAUCCGGAAUCAUUGGGUUUAAAGGGUCCGUAGGCGGUUUAGUAAGUCAGUGGUGAAAGCCCAUCGCUCAACGGUGGAACGGCCAUUGAUACUGCUAGACUUGAAUUAUUAGGAAGUAACUAGAAUAUGUAGUGUAGCGGUGAAAUGCUUAGAGAUUACAUGGAAUACCAAUUGCGAAGGCAGGUUACUACUAAUGGAUUGACGCUGAUGGACGAAAGCGUGGGCAGCGAACAGGAUUAGAUACCCUGGUAGUCCACGCCGUAAACGAUGGAUACUAGCUGUUGGGAGCGAUCUCAGUGGCUAAGCGAAAGUGAUAAGUAUCCCACCUGGGGAGUACGUUCGCAAGAAUG
rnacentral:rRNA from 1 species